rnacentral:rRNA from 1 species
GGACCCGCACAAGCAGCGGAGCAUGUGGUUUAAUUCGAAGCAACGCGAAGAACCUUACCAGGGCUUGACAUCCCUCUGACAGUCCCUUAACCGGGACCUUCUUCGGACAGAGGAGACAGGUGGUGCAUGGUUGUCGUCAGCUCGUGUCGUGAGAUGUUGGGUUAAGUCCCGCAACGAGCGCAACCCUUGUCUUUAGUUGCCAUCAUUCAGUUGGGCACUCUAGAGAGACUGCCGAGGAUAACUCGGAGGAAGGUGGGGAUGACGUCAAAUCAUCAUGCCCCUUAUGCCCUGGGCUACACACGUGCUACAAUGGCUGGUACAAAGAGACGCAAGACCGCGAGGUGGAGCAAAUCUCAAAAACCAGUCCCAGUUCGGAUUGCAGGCUGCAACUCGCCUGCAUGAAGUUGGAGUUGCUAGUAAUCGCAGAUCAGAAUGCUGCGGUGAAUGCGUUCCCGGGUCUU